ensembl:ncRNA D2092.13 ncRNA
CAGAGAAGACUAACCGAAGCUCGAUGGGCUCACGAAAACCGAACCCAGAGAAACAGAGAAUAGGCGUUUGGUCACUUUCAUCACCCCCGUACUACUAGUUGCUCCAAGAUUCCAUUUUGACGAGGAAAGAAACAUCUGCCCCGAACCCGCCUUUGCUCCUUUUCACCGUUAUCCCAU